rnacentral:rRNA from 1 species
CCUACGGGUGGCAGCAGUGGGGAAUAUUGCACAAUGGGGGAAACCCUGAUGCAGCGACGCCGCGUGAGUGAGGAAGUAUUUCGGUAUGUAAAGCUCUAUCAGCAGGGAAGAAAAUGACGGUACCUGACUAAGAAGCCCCGGCUAACUACGUGCCAGCAGCCGCGGGAAUACGUAGGGGGCAAGCGUUAUCCAGAUGUACUGGGUGUAAAGGGAGCGUAGACGGCUAAUCAAGUCAGACGUGAAAACCCAGGGCGACACUUUGGGACUGCUUUUGAAACUGAGUAGCUAGAGUGCAGGAGAGGGAAGCGGAAUUCCGAGUGUAGCGGUGAAAUGCGUAGAUAUUAGGAGGAACACCAGUGGCGAAGGCGGCUUACUGGACUGUAACUGACGUUGAGGCUCGAAAGCGUGGGGAGCAAACAGGAUUAGAUACCCGAGUAGUC